CAGCCUGCCACACCUGCCAGUAAUCAACCUCAUCCCAGCCUGUAUUUCAACCCCGGUUCUCCACACCAUCCUCGCUUGAUCGUCGUUGCUCCUUACCCGGUGCCACCUCUACGUCCAGGCUCUCAUGUUCCUUGUUUUUCCCUCAUCUUCCCUGCAUUUUGUCGCUCCAGCCACUAACCCUGUCUUUCUGUCUGUUUUCCCUCCCAGGUUCACUCACCCUCGUCAUCCGUUCAGUCGGCUGGGCUCAUCCUCCGGUCCUCACCUCUCGGGCUCCCGGCUCCUCCCUGCUCCUCGCCUCACCACCCGUGCCUCGCCCGCUCCUCGGUCCUCCGUGCCCGCAUCCCCUGGCGUCCACCUCUCCUCCCUCACCUCUUCCCUAGCCCCCUCCGUGAACCAUCAAUAAAACCUCCUUCCCUCUGAGUGUUGCGUUUGGGUCCUUUCUGUCCCGUCUCCCAACAAAAGAAUCUUUGCGAUUGAAGGCAGACUUGUUCCCCAUGAAAUUAGUUUUGUUGACGAGGCUUUAUUUAACUUGACAAAAAGAAGGAGAAGGGGGCGUAACAUAAUUGGUCAUCGGGCUAUUGUGAAUGUCCCUGACCAGUGAGGAGGGAGCAUCAAUAUGUGCACGCCCAUCAGCCCUAUGAGGAGUACUUCACCGCCAUAACACUAUGCUUCUCCUUGGUUUCAUUGAUGGUCUAAGAGAGCGUAUGUUCCAGCUUGACCAGAGGGAGCCAGCAAAACCAGAGCAACUUCACUACAUGCUACAAGCUUCCAUUGCGCUGCUCUGGUCCGUGACUGGUUUACCAAUCACCUGAGGCCAUGGAAGAAGCCUCCCUUGACAUUUCAGCUGAUCAAUGCCAGGGGUGGAUCAGGCAUGCAAGAGGAUUUUUCCCCCUGGCUAGGGCCAAUAUAGCCUGUGAUGUUGACGAGAUUCUGUGGACUGUCCAAGACCAAAGACGAGAUGCUGGUGCAGAAUAAUUUUUUUGUUGUUGUUUGGUGUAUUGGACUGUACAGUACAUUAAGGAAUA